GAACAGCAUCCCACCAGGGAACUCUGCAGCUGCCUUCCUAGUGAAGGUCCUUUCGAAAAGAGCUUUUCUCCCAGGUCAGGAGCCUCUUGGGAGGACCUUUUCUGCUCAAUGGGCUUUACAGGGCUCCUUCGGUGUGGAUUGCUGUCAAUGGGGGCAGGCAGCCUUAUGAGGCUUAUGAAUCCAUACGACCCUGCAAGGACACCUCUCUAUUUAAAAGGGACCCACUUCCCCAUGACCCAAGGCAAACAUGGAAAGGCCGAAGGGCCAGGCCUCUGGUUGCCGAAGCACCCAUGAAUCAUCUAAAGGGAUUUGCAGAAGUGAAGCUCUUCAGGAAGCACACCCACAGAGUUCAACACAAAGAUGACUUUUGUUUUAGCCUGAAAUGUCAGGAUUUACCCCCAAAAUGGUGGCGCCUUCUGCCCAGCAAAGCAGUCAUGGAAAACUCCCUCUGUGCGGUUGCUGGCCUUUGGGGGAGCUAAGCAGCCAGGCUGCUUCAGGGGUGUUUCCCCACAGAGGACACGGCAGGUCACACCGACUUCAGUGGGCGCAGCGUUCCACUGCAGAAGAACUUCUGCCCACCUCACAGCUUAGCGGGAGGCCCCUCUUUCCUUCCCAGGAAAUCCCUCCCACCCCUGAGAUUGCAGCCAGAAGGCAAAGACAUCAUUGCUAUCAACUUCAAAACAAGGGCCAGCACGUUGAAGUGCCAAAGGAAACUAGAGAGGAGGGACAAUUUCCCGAAAGACGACAUAUGUGCUUGGCAGCGCACCGUACUACCAAUCCCAAACACAAACACAGGACCUCAGGCCAGACAAAGCCCUGGCUCCCCAACUUUCGUUUGGGCGCUGGAAAGCCCACUGGCCACUUUUGCAAAAUUGGGAACAAUAGUUUUUGUUAUCUGGACUCAUUUCCAACACUGACGCAAGUGGGUUUGUUAUCACGCUAUUCAUUAAACAGCGAGGGAGACCCAACCCCUCCCAGGUCUUUUGCAGAAUGAAUACCGAUGCUUAAAAUAAUUCUUGUACAAAUGUUUGCCCUCCAUUCAAAUUGGAGUGUUCCUUCUGUAUCGUCUGGAUAUGGGAUGGAAGUGCUCGUCUCCACCCGAAGCGACGAUCCAGCCUUCUUCUGAGGACAGAGAACUGAGCCUCAAUAGUCCUCCAAGCAUCUCCAUCCCACUGUGACCUUCUUCUCAGGAUCUUUGGCUUUUCGAGAAAGUGAGUCCAGCCGCUGGGUCUACACAUC
rnacentral:lncRNA from 1 species